rnacentral:rRNA from 1 species
GAUAAACGCUGGCGGCGUGCCUAAUACAUGCAAGUCGAGCGAACGGACGAGAAGCUUGCUUCUCUGAUGUUAGCGGCGGACGGGUGAGUAACACGUGGAUAACCUACCUAUAAGACUGGGAUAACUUCGGGAAACCGGAGCUAAUACCGGAUAAUAUUUUGAACCGCAUGGUUCAAAAGUGAAAGACGGUCUUGCUGUCACUUAUAGAUGGAUCCGCGCUGCAUUAGCUAGUUGGUAAGGUAACGGCUUACCAAGGCAACGAUGCAUAGCCGACCUGAGAGGGUGAUCGGCCACACUGGAACUGAGACACGGUCCAGACUCCUACGGGAGGCAGCAGUAGGGAAUCUUCCGCAAUGGGCGAAAGCCUGACGGAGCAACGCCGCGUGAGUGAUGAAGGUCUUCGGAUCGUAAAACUCUGUUAUUAGGGAAGAACAUAUGUGUAAGUAACUGUGCACAUCUUGACGGUACCUAAUCAGAAAGCCACGGCUAACUACGUGCCAGCAGCCGCGGUAAUACGUAGGUGGCAAGCGUUAUCCGGAAUUAUUGGGCGUAAAGCGCGCGUAGGCGGUUUUUUAAGUCUGAUGUGAAAGCCCACGGCUCAACCGUGGAGGGUCAUUGGAAACUGGAAAACUUGAGUGCAGAAGAGGAAAGUGGAAUUCCAUGUGUAGCGGUGAAAUGCGCAGAGAUAUGGAGGAACACCAGUGGCGAAGGCGACUUUCUGGUCUGUAACUGACGCUGAUGUGCGAAAGUGUGGGGAUCAAACAGGAUUAGAUACCCUGGUAGUCCACGCCGUAAACGAUGAGUGCUAAGUGUUAGGGGGUUUCCGCCCCUUAGUGCUGCAGCUAACGCAUUAAGCACUCCGCCUGGGGAGUACGACCGCAAGGUUGAAACUCAAAGGAAUUGACGGGGACCCGCACAAGCGGUGGAGCAUGUGGUUUAGUUCGAAGCAACGCGAAGAACCUUACCAAAUCUUGACAUCCUUUGACAACUCUAGAGAUAGAGCCUUCCCCUUCGGGGGACAAAGUGACAGGUGGUGCAUGGUUGUCGUCAGCUCGUGUCGUGAGAUGUUGGGUUAAGUCCCGCAACGAGCGCAACCCUUAAGCUUAGUUGCCAUCAUUAAGUUGGGCACUCUAAGUUGACUGCCGGUGACAAACCGGAGGAAGGUGGGGAUGACGUCAAAUCAUCAUGCCCCUUAUGAUUUGGGCUACACACGUGCUACAAUGGACAAUACAAAGGGCAGCGAAACCGCGAGGUCAAGCAAAUCCCAUAAAGUUGUUCUCAGUUCGGAUUGUAGUCUGCAACUCGACUACAUGAAGCUGGAAUCGCUAGUAAUCGUAGAUCAGCAUGCUACGGUGAAUACGUUCCCGGGUCU